AAAGAGGCAUGGUUCUAUGAUUGGCUCAGUCUGGGUCUAGUGCCCACCUCCAAACCCACCCUGAGAGUGGAGAGGGAAGAUCAGCUGUGAUGACUGGAAGUGACCAUGAGGACAAGAGCCACAAACUAAGGUUGGCAGAGCAGGAAAACAGAAGACACCUAGGACCUUGGUGGCAUCCUGGAGCUGCUGUACCAGUGCUGUAUUGCCUACAUCUAUACUUCUUGAUAUAUCACUCACUCUGGGGAAACCAGUUGCCAUGUUGUGAGGAGUGGCUACAGGCAAGGAAACAACCACCUGAGGGAAGUUGGAGGCAGAUCCUCCAGCCCCAGUCAAGCCUUCGCAGAACAGCAGCUCCAGCCAACCUCUAGACUGCAACCUCAUGAGAAACUUUCAAUCAGAGACACCCAGCUAAGCUCUUUGAUUCCUGACCCACAGAAAUAAUAAAAUAAUAAAUUUUUGUUGUUUAAAACCAA